GUUGUUUAAGAUUGGGAAUGUGUGGAGAGGUAAGAGACCGGUGGUGAUGCUGUGGGCGUGGACUUGGUGGAGUUGGGAGAUGGAUUUGCAUUGCUUUAUUACUUGCAAGAAGACACCACCAAGCUGAUCAUGGCAUGUGCUAGAUAAAGAGUAACAUUUCGUGUAUGUGGAUAAAACAAGCAAUGCCUAGUCAUUUCUUCGAGGCACUCUCUAAAAUCUUUCUUCAUUUGCAAGAUAACCAAUACUCACUGAUCAGAAAAGCAAACUCGAGGCUCGAACCAAGGAUUACUGUAUAGAGAACCAACUAAAGUGUGCUUUACCAAGCUAGGAGAGAAAUAAAGAAGUGACCACUUGACCUAACGGAAAUUAUUUUAUUACGAGGGGUUCCAAUAAUUGUUAUUCCUCUCCGUACGGAAUAAAAGCACUACUAUGAAAAAGUAGAGCAUUGGCUUUCUUUAAUUAUAGUAUAUUUAUAUGCCGAAUUUAGCAAGCCCCCAUCCCCAUGCAUACCAAUUGGAUGGUGCCAACCCAAUGUACCACAUUUUUAAAAUGCACAAGUGCUUAUCUACAAGCCUAUUCUCUCUUUACACUUGGCUCUUUUGUCCAUAUAAUUACUUUAACCAACCACCUUUUUAUUAUCAUACCAUUUUUUCCACUUCUUUUUACCUGUUUUUCAAACCCCUCUUCCCCAUACUUAAUCUUUAAUUAUCCUUUCUUGUCGGUCGUGAGAAGUGGAAUAACAGGCUCCAUGGAAUAUUGUGUAACAAAAUGCUUAUGAGAGAUUGAAAUGUGAUUUGAUUCUUUUUUUUAAUGCCUAUGCUUAUCUGUUCUCUGUUGUCCGCUUUUUUAAUCCUUCCAUUUGGAGUGGUUAUAUAUGCUUGAAUGUAUGGGAGGUAACAAACCACCAAUGUCCUUCAUUCCAAGUGCCAUCUAAUCUACUAGCCAAGCUAAGUACGUCCUGAUAUGGAGAAAGAAGAAAGUGAAGAGGAAGAAGAUGACAACGACUUGAAUGUUAUGCUGCUCUCCUUUUGAAGAGAGGAGUAUCAAAAAGGCAAUUCAUAAAGGCUUAGGGAAGGCAAAGCCUUUCUUCCAGGUUCAAUUCACGAAGCUGUGCCUGCACUGGUGAUUCAGCCAGCUAAGGUUUUAAAAAAACAGUCCAUGACCAUGAUUUCGAUUGUAACACUCAGAUUUUUGGGGGGCCCACGAUCACAUCAUGACCACAAUUGUAGUCACUUCAGUGCCACUUGUUCACAAUAACAAAGAACGCUACCACAAUUUAAAACCUUGCAGCUAGCUAAGCCAUACACAGACUGCAGUUUCAUCUUAAAAUCAAUGUGUGUUUGUUGCUAUGUAGCUCAUUUACCGUUCUGUUUCUUUUUCCACCUAUUCUUGUCACAGUUGUAAGUUUGAAUGGUUUACUCAUGAGGUAGGGAGGUAGUGAGUGAUUUGAGAUAUAGGAAAUGUAAUAUUUUCCUGUGUUUUCGUUGGAAGCCAUGAAUAAAGUGGCGAACUGUUUGUUGGCAUCAGGAAAGAAAAAUGAAUAUUGUCACUGUUUACUUGGUUCUGUC